rnacentral:rRNA from 1 species
UACGUAGGGGGCUAGCGUUGUCCGGAAUCAUUGGGCGUAAAGCGCGUGUAGGCGGUUCGGUAAGUCCGCUGUGAAAGUCGGGGGCUCAACCCUCGGAAGCCGGUGGAUACUGUCGGGCUAGAGUACGGAAGAGGCGAGUGGAAUUCCUGGUGUAGCGGUGAAAUGCGCAGAUAUCAGGAAGAACACCGGUGGCGAAGGCGGCCCGCUGGGACGGUACUGACGCUGAGACGCGAAAGCGUGGGGAGCGAACAGG